GACGACUAAAACAACGAAAGCCCUUCCUCUCUUCCAUCCUUACGGCUCCAAUGACCGCGCCAGUGAGAAUUAGCUUAUCAACAAUAUU
rnacentral:sRNA from 1 species